CCUACGGGGGGCAGCAGUGGGGAAUAUUGGACAAUGGGGGGAACCCUGAUCCAGCCAUGCCGCGUGUGUGAAGAAGGCCCUCGGGUUGUAAAGCACUUUCAGUGAGGAAGAACGCCUGGUGGUUAAUACCCAUCAGGAAAGACAUCACUCACAGAAGAAGCACCGGCUAACUCCGUGCCAGCAGCCGCGGUAAUACGGAGGUGCGAGCGUUAAUCGGAAUUACUGGGCGUAAAGCGCGCGUAGGUGGCUUGAUAAGCCGGUUGUGAAAGCCCCGGGCUCAACCUGGGAACGGCAUCCGGAACUGUCAAGCUAGAGUGCAGGAGAGGAAGGUAGAAUUCCCGGUGUAGCGGUGAAAUGCGUAGAGAUCGGGAGGAAUACCAGUGGCGAAGGCGGCCUUCUGGACUGACACUGACACUGAGGUGCGAAAGCGUGGGUAGCAAACAGGAUUAGAUACCCUUGUAGUC
rnacentral:rRNA from 1 species